rnacentral:rRNA from 3 species
UAGGGAAUCUUCGGCAAUGGGGGCAACCCUGACCGAGCAACGCCGCGUGAGUGAAGAAGGUUUUCGGAUCGUAAAGCUCUGUUGUAAGUCAAGAACGAGUGUGAGAGUGGAAAGUUCACACUGUGACGGUAGCUUACCAGAAAGGGACGGCUAACUACGUGCCAGCAGCCGCGGUAAUACGUAGGUCCCGAGCGUUGUCCGGAUUUAUUGGGCGUAAAGCGAGCGCAGGCGGUUUGAUAAGUCUGAAGUUAAAGGCUGUGGCUCAACCAUAGUUCGCUUUGGAAACUGUCAAACUUGAGUGCAGAAGGGGAGAGUGGAAUUCCAUGUGUAGCGGUGAAAUGCGUAGAUAUAUGGAGGAACACCGGUGGCGAAAGCGGCUCUCUGGUCUGUAACUGACGCUGAGGCUCGAAAGCGUGGGGAGCGAACAGG